rnacentral:rRNA from 1 species
UGGCUCAGGACGAACGCUGGCGGCGUGCCUAAUACAUGCAAGUCGAACGGUCUUUCUAUGGAAGCUUGCUUCCACUGAGAAGAUAGUGGCGAACGGGUGAGUAACACGUGGGUAACCUGCCCAUAAGAGGGGGGAUAACAUCCGGAAACGGGUGCUAAUACCGCAUAGUUUUCUUGAUCGCAUGAUCGGGAAAGGAAAGACGGCCUUUGUGCUGUCGCUUAUGGAUGGACCCGCGGCGUAUUAGUUAGUUGGUGAGGUAACGGCUCACCAAGACGAUGAUACGUAGCCGACCUGAGAGGGUGAUCGGCCACAUUGGGACCGAGACACGGCCCAAACUCCUACGGGAGGCAGCAGUAGGGAAUCUUCCGCAAUGGACGAAAGUCUGACGGAGCAACGCCGCGUGAGUGAAAGAAGGUUUUCGGAUCGUAAAACUCUGUUGUCAGAGAAGAACAAGUUGGAGAGUAACUGCUCCAGCCUUGACGGUAUCUGACCAGAAAGCCACGGCUAACUACGUGCCAGCCGCCGC